GUAUCAUGGCUCAGAUUGAACGCUGGCGGCAGGCUUAACACAUGCAAGUCGAACGGUAACAGGAAGAAAGCUUGCUUUCUUUGCUGACGAGUGGCGGACGGGUGAGUAAUGCUUGGGUAUCUGGCUUAUGGAGGGGGAUAACUACGGGAAACUGUAGCUAAUACCGCGUAGUAUCGGAAGAUGAAAGUGUGGGACCGCAAGGCCACAUGCCAUAGGAUGAGCCCAAGUGGGAUUAGGUAGUUGG
rnacentral:rRNA from 1 species